UUUAGUUUUUUCUUUUUCCCUUUUUUUUUCCUUUUAGACUGGAUGAGGGGCACACAGUGAGAAGCUGGCUUCAUGGGAGGAGAAAUCUAUCAAAUGGAAAAUGAACAAAUACAAAACCCUCUGUUUCUGUCCAAUGUCUAUAACCACAGCAUGAUAAGACAGGGAAGGGUCAUCUGACUAUGUGGUUGAUUUCUCCAAUAUUCCUCACUGAUUUCCUCUUUUUGUAUAAUCUCUUGCUAUUACGAUAAAACGGCACCAGAUCAUGUUGAGAUGAAUCAUCCAUCUCCUUAAAUGUCUAUUUAGGAGUUAACAGAAGUUACCAGAAGUAACUCUGGUUGAAAGCUCAUCUACUUAUAGCCCUCGUUCGUUAUGAAAAUUCUUGAAACCUCAACCAAAGCCUAUCUUCAGACAAGACCACAACACACUGCCAGGAAACGCCUUUUCAGCGGAGGGGACUCACACAAAGGCAGUUUUCUCUUCUUUUGUUCUGGGAGGAAAAGGGGCAUUUGGCCACUCAGAAUGAGAGUUCAGACAGACUCUCCUGGGGAACAAGUGUUUUGCCUACGAAUUGCCUGGGUAGCUCUGAGCUGGGGAAGUGAGCAAGCUCCUCUGAGUUCCUUCUCCUUAUACAGGUUAAAAAAGUACAGAAGUGGAGAGAAGGAAACCAGUGAGACACAGCCCAGGACCAAGGAGCACUCUCUGGGAAGUCCAGACAGGCAGCAGGACCUGUCUAUCAUCGGAGGAGUACAUCACACUCUCUUUCUCUCUGCACAUCUCUGGGUGUGCCCUCUGUGUAAGUACCACCCACAGCAGGGGAGAGGUGAGGG